GCGUUGGUACCUGAACGACACGGGUGGUUGUACCAGGCGUUGGUACCUGAACGACACGGGUGGUUGUACCAGGCGUUGAUACCUGAAUGACACGGGUGGUUUUACCAGGCGUUGGUACCUGAACGAGACGGGUGGUUGUACCAGGCGUUGGUACCUGAACGAUAUGGGUGGUUGUACAAGGCGUUGGUACCUGAACGACACGGGUGGUUGUACAAGGCGUUGGUACCUGAACGACACGGGUGGUUGUACAAGGCGUUGGUACCUGAACGACACGGGUGGUUGUACAAGGCGUUGGUACCUGAACGACACGGGUGGUUGUACCAGGCGUUGGUACCUGAACGACACGGGUGGUUGUACCAGGCGUUGGUACCUGAACGACACGGGUGCUAUGAAAGGCCACGGCGUCUUGUGGGCGUCAACACUACAGCCUGGACAUUGCAUGAAGACUUACAUUUUUUUGUUGUUGCUUUCUUUGUUUGGUGAAGGUGAAAGGACUCUUUCUACUGUUGGCUGUGGAGGACUGCAUUGUUCAAUGUUUUCCACCAUAUCUAUGCCGACUGAAUGCCCCAGCCAAAACCGGUGUUCACGGUGCUACGUUUCAAAGGACAUCCUGUCUUACUGGACAGGGACAGGAUGUGACAUACAAGAAUGACACAGCCCACAGUAAGCCUCAGUGACGCUGAUUGAGCUGUUACAAACAGACUGCAUCAUCAUCCGUACAAACUCGGAUAUUGUCAUCAACAUACUUGAAUUUGAUAAGUCGCAAAAAAAAUUGUCGAAUUCCUAAACAUUCACUUAGCAAUCACCAAAUUUUAUAAUGAUGGUGCAUAAACACCAAUGAAGAAGAUUAAUUCAUAGCCCUUUGCAGCCAUUUACAAACCACCAUGUUAUAACGUUGACUGCCAACCUAAUGAACACCACUGGCUUGACACUAAUGUAGUAACUGAAAAAGUGUUUGAGCUUAAAAACAAGUGGCCUCAGAAGCUUUUCAUUUAACCUAGGGCUAGAAUACCCGCAGUGGAUUUCAGACUGGUUUAAUUUUCCCAACCAACAGCUGAAGACUUCAGUAAUAUCAAUUUCAAAUGUUCGUAAUGAUCCAUGUGUGACUCCUUUUAUUUUUUUAGUUCAAGGCA
ensembl:lncRNA